CCCUUAAUCUUUGUCCUGAACUGCUGAUCUUCAGAGGGACCCAGGAGAAGAUGAGUCCACCGUUUCUACUGGGGAAAAAAAAACAAAACAACAGCAACAAAAAAACACAUCAAACUGUGGGACACUGGAUGGGUGGAUGGGCUAGGCCUGAAAAGAGAUUGCCAAAUACAUGUCCCUUCCAGAUGAAAAGUGGAUCCUUUAGGAACAGGAGAAACAAAAAGAACAACGUAACUCACUCCAUCGUUAUUUUCCUCCUAAUUUUGUGGACCACUAUGGCCAGUUGGUGAAGCUGUUUAUCCACUGGAAUCUUGAUGAGGCAAGUGAACUUGAGUCUCAUACAUUUACGGGGGUGGUGUUUUCUGCUUGAAAAGAUGCUUUCACAUCUGUUACCUAUUAAGAUGCCCACAACUGAAUGAAGUGAGGUGAGGAGUCGCCAUGAUGUCCAUUUCAAACAUCAAGAAAUGGAAACUGA